rnacentral:lncRNA from 1 species
CUUUGUAUUAUUUUACAGCACCUGCACCCCAUCUGGAUUGUUUUCUGUUACCACCUGGAAAAGAAAGUGUAAAAAGGACACAGGAACCUCACCAGGGCACAGCCCACUGCACGCAGCAGCAGGAGGGGAAGGAGAUUCUGACGGAUUCCUUGCCAGGGCAUUUGCUCCUCAAGAGUUAAAGGAUGCCAGAAUAAGCUGGCGGAUCUAUUGUGUCCCAUGAUUCAGGCCCUGAGGAGCGUGAUAGCCCGAGUCAUCGCACAAGCUUCAACCACACUAAAUUGAUUCUGUGUUGCUUUUCCUACUGCUGGGCCAAUCUCAGCUAUGAUUUGUGGACCUGUUCUUUUGCAGCUCAAAGACAUGCCCCCUUGGGCUUCCUGGCAGAAGGUGGACUCAUUUCCCACAUGCCCACUGUUCCCUGACCCCUCCCCAAGCUGGGCUUUUCCCCAUCAUUUCCUUUGGAACAAAAUCUUCUCUUCAUAUAAGACUGACCAUGUUGGCCUCUUCCUUCCUCAGAACAUC